ACUCCAUCUCACUGGCGCGAGGCCACACCGCUGUGGAAGUUCAUGGAUGCCACUCGCCCGCGUGAGAUCUGCGCCGCCAGCCUCGCUCCCUGCUGGGCUAUGUCCUCACCUCCGAAACUGAUUACAGACGCAGAUUUGGAAAUUCCCACUUCGGCUGUAGGAUCCAGGUAGCCUGGCAUUCAGCUCGGCAUCAUCAGCGGAAGGCGUGGUGGGAUUGUUAGUGCUCCCUGCUGCUGAACUCGCCGGCUGCCCAACUGUUGACCUGCCUACUCGAAUGCGUCGGGACGAUUCAGGCCAUUUGUAACAUGAUGCAAUCUGACCAGAUCAGGUUUAGGCUAGCAUUUGCUUUCAACAUGUUUGAUGGAAUGUCCUACAGGCUGCAGCUGCCGAUGGUGUGCUUGGUGCAAGAUAGUGGUGUUAAUAUUACCACGAAAUAGGCGUUAUGUCAAUUGUUCUUGAGGUCUAUUUUUAAAGGGGGGUCCUAUGUAUAGAAGGUGAGUUAUCAGAAUCCUUUGUCACUAUAAGUUACAGUGUUUGAGUUACGUGUGAGGUUCCUAGAUUUAACUUUUAGGUAUGGUCUUUGCACACUAACAGUUACUCAAAAUGCAUGAUUUUGGUUCA